rnacentral:rRNA from 1 species
GACGUAGGGGCAAGCGUUGUUCGGAAUUAUUGGGCGUAAAGCGCUCGUAGGCGGAUUGGAAGUCCGUGUUGAAAGACCUCGGCUCAACUGAGGGACCGCUCGGAUACCUAAUUCUUGAGGCAAUCAGAGGAUGAUGGAAUUCCCGGUGUAGCGUGAAUGCGUAGAUAUCGGAGAACACCAGUGGCGAAGGCGAUCAUCUGGGUUGUUCUGACGCUGAGAGCGAAGCUAGGA